GAGCCAGCUUUGACAACCCCCUCGGGUCCCCUUCCACAGUGUGGAAGCUUUGUUAUUUCGCUCUUUGCAAUAAAUCUUGCUACUGCUCACUCUUUGGGUCCACGCUACUUUUAUGAGCUGUAACACCCACCGUGAAGAUCUGCAGCUUCACUCCUGAGCCCAACGAGCCCACGAGCCCACUGGGAGGAACCAACAACUCCAGACGUGCUGCCUUAAGAGCUGUAACACUCACCGUGAAGGUCUGCAGCUUCACCCCUGAGCCAGUGAGACCACGAACCCACCAGAAGGAAGAAACUCCAAACACAUCUGAACAUCAGAAGGGACAGACUCCAGACGCGCCACUUUAAGAGCUGUAACACUCACCGCGAGGGUCCGCGGCUUCAUUCUUGAAGUCAGUGAGACCAAGAACCCACCCAUUCCGGACACACCAUCAUCAUGUAAGGCACUAACAACAGGAGAAGCUGGGUGAAAGAAUCUAUGUCACAGUGAUUGAUUUACUGCAUAUGAGCAGAAUGAACCUGGACCUGGCCAGUAUCAUUAAGGGGUCUCACUUCAUCACCUAGACUGGAGUACAGUAGCACAGUUGCAGCUUCCUACAUCUUGACUUCCUGGGUUCCAGUGAUCCUCCCCCUUCAGCCUCUCAGGUAGCUAGGAAAGUGGAGUUCUUAAUCUCAAUAGAAAUAUCGAGAUUAGAAUUGAAGACAGGUUUCUAUGCUUAAACAGCAAAGACAGAGAAACUUAAUUAUUAUAGCAAGUAACAGAACCAAACCAAAG
rnacentral:lncRNA from 10 species